GUGAAUCAUCGAAUUUUUGAACGCAAAUUGCACUCUCUUCGGAGAGUAUGCCUGUUUGAGGGUCAGUAUUAAUAAAAAUCGGCGUGUUGCUCUUUUGUGACGUUCCGGAGUUUGGGUCAUCUUAUAACAACACCCUUUCAGGGUAUUUUUAAGAGGCUUAAAAUUGACCUUUUUGUGCAUUUUAGACAUACAUAAAUUUUUUUUUUUUGUUCAUUCUUAUUGCCAAUUCCCAUUUGAAUCCGACA
rnacentral:misc_RNA from 1 species